rnacentral:rRNA from 1 species
GCAUAUCAAUAAGCGGAGGAAAAGAAACCAACAGGGAUUACCUUAGUAACGGCGAGUGAAGCGGUAAAAGCUCAAAUUUGAAAUCUAGCGUCUUUGGCGUUCGAGUUGUAAUUUGAAGAUGGUAAUCUUGGAUAUAGUCUUCGGCUAUGUUCCUUGGAACAGGACGUCACAGAGGGUGAGAAUCCCGUGUGCUGAGGUGCCUAUAUCCAUGUAAGAUGCUAUCGAAGAGUCGAGUUGUUUGGGAAUGCAGCUCUAAGUGGGUGGUAAAUUCCAUCUAAAGCUAAAUAUUGGCGAGAGACCGAUAGCGAACAAGUACAGUGAUGGAAAGAUGAAAAGAACUUUGAAAAGAGAGUGAAAAAGUACGUGAAAUUGUUGAAAGGGAAGGGCAUGAGGUCAGACUUGGUAUUAAGCGAUCAUUUCCUCUCGGGGUUGUGCUCUCGCUUUUUACUGGGCCAGCAUCAGUUUGGACGGUAAGAUAAUGACAUUGGAAUGUGGCUUUCUUCGGGAAGUGUUAUAGCCCUUGUUGAUGUUACCAGUCUGGACUGAGGACCGCGCAUUAUUGCUAGGAUGCUGGCGUAAUGGCCUUAUGCCGCCCGUCUUGAAACACGGACCAAGGAGUCUAACGUCUAUGCAAGUGUUUGGGUGUAAAACCCGUACGCGUAAUGAAAGUGAACGUAGGUCUGAGCCUUCGGGUGCAAGAUCGACCGAUCCUGAUGUCUUCGGAUGGAUUUGAGUAAGAGCAUAGCUGUUGGGACCCGAAAGAUGGUGAACUAUGCCUGAAUAGGGUGAAGCCAGAGGAAACUCUGGUGGAGGCUCGUAGCGGUUCUGACGUGCAAAUCGAUCGUCGAAUUUGGGUAUAGGGGCGAAAGACUAAUCGAACCAUCUAGUAGCUGGUUCCUGCCGA